rnacentral:miRNA from 1 species
UACGUACGUAGUACGUACGUACGUACGUACGUACGUACGUACGUACGUACGUACGUACGUACGUACGUACGUACGUACGUACGUACGUAC